GAGGGAAAGUUGAAAAGAACUUUGAAGAGAGAGUUCAAGAGUACGUGAAACCGUUCAGGGGUAAACCUGAGAAACCCAAAAGAUCGAAUGGGGAGAUUCAUCGUCAGCGACACUGGCUUUCGUGUGGUUUUACGUCACUGUUCGGGAUUUCGGUCUCGCAACGUGCGGAACUAUUGCGAUAUGCUGGGUUGUCGGCGUGCACUUCUCCCCUAGUAGAACGUCGCAACCCGUUGAGUGUCAGUUUACGGUCUGGGCGGUAGCCUGUUCUGUCGUAUUAACGUGCGUAUGGAGCAGACCCCUGGUAUUAUCUGACUGACUGCUCGACGGUACUCGAAAGGUAUUGGGCCGCAUUUUAUAAUGCGUCAGGCUCACCGCAAGCGAGAUCAGUGUUUCUCGGAGGUGCGGACCUAGUGCCGUCCCCGGGCCUGAUCACCUGUUGGUCGGUGAUGUGACCCGUCUUGAAACACGGACCAAGGAGUCUAACAUGUGCGCGAGUCAUUGGGACCGCAAAACCUAAAGGCGUAAUGAAAGUGAAAGUCGACCUUGUGUCGACUAAGGGAGGAUGGGUUGCGUCACGAUGCAUCCCCGCACUCCCGGGGCGUCUCGUACUCAUUGCGAGUAGAGGCGCACCCAGAGCGUACACGUUGGGACCCGAAAGAUGGUGAACUAUGCCUGGUCAGGACGAAGUCAGGGGAAACCCUGAUGGAGGUCCGUAGCGAUUCUGACGUGCAAAUCGAUCGUCGGAACUGGGUAUAGGGGCGAAAGACUAAUCGAACCAUC
rnacentral:rRNA from 1 species